rnacentral:rRNA from 1 species
GACGAACGCUGGCGGCGUGCCUAAUACAUGCAAGUAGAACGCUGAAGGAGGAGCUUGCUCUUCUGGAUGAGUUGCGAACGGGUGAGUAACGCGUAGGUAACCUGCCUGGUAGCGGGGGAUAACUAUUGGAAACGAUAGCUAAUACCGCAUAAGAGUAGAUGUUGCAUGACAUUAGCUUAAAAGGUGCAAUUGCAUCACUACCAGAUGGACCUGCGUUGUAUUAGCUAGUUGGUGGGGUAACGGCUCACCAAGGCGACGAUACAUAGCCGACCUGAGAGGGUGAUCGGCCACACUGGGACUGAGACACGGCCCAGACUCCUACGGGAGGCAGCAGUAGGGAAUCUUCGGCAAUGGACGGAAGUCUGACCGAGCAACGCCGCGUGAGUGAAGAAGGUUUUCGGAUCGUAAAGCUCUGUUGUAAGAGAAGAACGAGUGUGAGAGUGGAAAGUUCACACUGUGACGGUAUCUUACCAGAAAGGGACGGCUAACUACGUG